rnacentral:rRNA from 1 species
GCACAAGCGGUGGAGCAUGUGGUUUAAUUCGAAGCAACGCGAAGAACCUUACCAGGUCUUGACAUCCCCUGACAACCCGAGAGAUCGGGCGUUCCCCGUUCGGGGGACAGGGUGACAGGUGGUGCAUGGUUGUCGUCAGCUCGUGUCGUGAGAUGUUGGGUUAAGUCCCGCAACGAGCGCAACCCUUGUCUUUAGUUGCCAUCAUUCAGUUGGGCACUCUAAAGAGACUGCCGGUGUCAAACCGGAGGAAGGUGGGGAUGACGUCAAGUCCUCAUGGCCUUUAUGACCAGGGCUACACACGUACUACAAUGGCCGGUACAAAGGGCAGCCACUUAGCGAUAAGGAGCCAAUCCCGUAAAGCCGGUCUCAGUCCGGAUUGGAGUCUGCAACUCGACUCCAUGAAGUUGGAAUCGCUAGUAAUCGCAGGUCAGCAUACUGCGGUGAAUACGUUCCGGGGCCUU